ACCAGGGCUUUCGGACCCGCAGCUCGGUGACCUCCCGCAUGGCGCGGAGGACCGAGCCCCCAGACGGGGGCUGGGGGUGGAUGGUGGUCCUCUCGGCCUUCUUCCAAUCGGCGCUGGUGUUCGGGGUGCUCCGCUCCUUCAGCGUCUUCUUCGUGGAGUUCGUGGCGGCGUUUGACGAGCCGGCCGCGCGCGUCUCCUGGAUCGCCUCCAUAGGCAUCGCCGUGCAGCAGUUUGGGAGCCCCGUGGGCAGUGCCCUGAGCACGAAGUUCGGGCCAAGGCCAGUGGUGAUGGCUGGGGGCAUCUUGGCGGCGCUGGGGAUGCUGCUGGCCUCCUUCGCUACCUCCUUGACCCACCUGUACCUGAGUAUUGGGCUGCUCUCAGGUUCUGGGUGGGCCUUGACCUUCACACCAACACUUGCCUGCCUGUCUCGUUACUUCUCUCGCCUGCGAUCCCUGGCCAUGGGGUUGGCACUGACUGGCGUGGGCCUCUCCUCCUUUGCUUUUGCCCCACUCUUCCAAUGGCUGCUCAGCUCCUAUGCCUGGCGGGGCACCCUACUGUUGGUGUCUGCCAUCUCCCUCCAUCUGGUGGCCUGUGGUGCUCUCCUCCGCCCACUCUCCCUGACUGAGGACCCUGCUGUGGCUGACCCUGGGGCCCAACUCGCCUCCCUCCUCCAUCAUGGCCCCUUCCUCCGUUACACUGUCGCCCUCACCCUGGUCAACACCGGCUACUUCAUUCCCUAUGUGCAUCUGGUGGCCCAUCUCCAGGACCUGGAUUGGGAUCCACUGCCCGCUGCCUUCCUCCUCUCGGUGAUUGCUAUUUCUGACCUCGUGGGGCGUGUGGUUUCUGGGUGGCUAGGGGAUAUAGUCCCAGGGCCUGUGGCACGACUCCUGAUGCUCUGGACCACCCUGACCGGGGUGUCACUGGCCCUGUUCCCCAUGGCCCAGGCUCCCACAGCCCUGGUGGCUCUGGCCGUGGCCUAUGGCUUUACAUCAGGGGCCCUGACCCCAUUGGCCUUCUCCAUGCUGCCUGAACUGGUGGGGACUGGAAGGAUAUACUGUGGCCUGGGACUGGUGCAGAUGGUGGAAAGCAUCGGGGGACUGCUGGGGGCUCCUCUGUCAGGUAAGGGGAAUGGGGUUUCCAGAUGGCCAGAGAUGCCAUGUCAUACCAUUCAGGGAGGGUACUAUUCACAUUAUAGUGAAUGUAAAUAUUGCCCUUUACAUGGUAUGGUCUCCUACAUGGCCUGUAUAACCAAUCAUAGCAGCCCUGAAGUGGGUCCAUGAGACAAAGAAAUUGGGGCUGUGGAAAAACUCAAAUGAGCUUUGCGGAGCCCUUGGUAGGAUACCUGUCGCUUGGAUUUUCAGACUUGUCUGGACCUGCUCUUACCCUUGGCCCAUUUGGCCCCAGCUCAGAUGUCUGAGCCAUGUGGUCAAAGUUCUCCAGCCUUCAGAUGCCAAAACCUUCAGACCCUAGCUACUGACCAUUAGAUGACAGGGCCACAGUUGCCGGAAAGAAAGACACAGGUGUGCCUGCCUCAAUCUGGAUCCCCAAAUCCCCACUGGCUGAUAAGGAGGGCCUUCCUGAAGGCAGGGAGGUGAUGGACAUGACCUCUGAAGCCCCAUGGGACACCAGAGUUGUAAAGAGCAUCUGGUCCUACCUUGGCAGUUCUAACUCUUCCAAGAUGGCUACCUCCGGGAUGUGACAGGCAACUACACAGCUUCUUUUGUGGUGGCCGGGGCCUUCCUUCUUGCAGGGAGUGGAGUUCUCAUCACUCUGCCCCACUUCUUCUGCGUCUCAGCUCCUACCUCCAAGCCCCAGGACCUUGG